ACACUCUGGUUUCUCUUCAGAUCGUAUAAAUCUUUCGCCUUUUACUAAAGAUUUCCGUGGAGAGGAACAACUCUGAGUUUUUACUCAAUUUUUUGAGGUCUUGUGCUUACAAGACU
ensembl:snRNA Gm23287 U5 spliceosomal RNA